rfam:Sus scrofa chromosome X.
CCAAAGGCUCUUUUUGGAGCCACUCACUUGACAGGAAAAGACCUG